AGAGUCGGCACCUCGUAUGGGGCCCGUCCGCGCCGCCAGGCGGCCGUGAUGCAAGGGUCCGCGAUGACCCGACCGGUGCGAGGAGAAACGCAUG
rnacentral:ncRNA from 1 species